rnacentral:lncRNA from 1 species
AAUAAUUGAAAUUUCAUGAAUGUAAUUAAGGAUUUGUGAUUCUUGCAAAUUGAAAUGAUUUUCUGCCCCUCGUGGUAGCGAGUUUUAAAAGAAAAAGAUUUUCGUGUGGGAAACAGUUUUUAAAAGGAUUUUCUGGUUUUCCUGAUUAUUAGUAUUUCAAAAUGAGUUUUCAGGUAGAAAACGUUUUAAACUGAUAGAUGUGGAUUUAUGAAUGAUUAUGAUGCAUUAAAUGUGAAUAUGAAUGGUGUAUGAAUAUGUGUAUGUUCAGAUGUGGUGGUUGUAUCCUGUAUUGUGUAUAUUGUACUUGUGCGACGCCGUGCAAAUAUAGGGGAGACUCUAUCCGCGUGAACAGUGGACUUCCUGUAUUUGUGGCG